AUGGUGGAGUCUCAUGUCCUCCCUUCUUUGGACCAGAUGUCAUGUUUUGUCUGUGUGGGUCGUCGCUUCUACUCGACAGAACCUUAUACUUGGGGUGACCAUUUGAUGGUGCUGGACACGUGCACAAUGAGGUUUUCCACUGUCGAUCUUCUCACCGGCUACCAUCAGGAGCUCAGAGAUCUGUAUAACGAGAGCUCUGAUCCUCGGCGUCCGAAUUCUGUCGUUGCAGGUAGGGAAGGAACCCUUGAGAUGUUUUCUCUUGUCCGUCAGGAUGGCUACUUUGCUCUCUACCAUACCUCUCUACGGAAUAAUUCCCAAGAAUGGGAGCUCGAGAAGGUCAUAAGCCUGCCAGGGCAGUAUCGUGACUAUUCCAUUUCCACAGUGGGUGCAGCUGAGGGAUUCUUGUUCUUCCAAGGUGCUCCAAAAGGUAUUCGUGUUGAGAAUGUGGAUUGUUACUCAAUGUCGGUCAGGACUUAUGAAAUUACCAAAGUCUGUACAAGGAUGGAGCAGUUCCUCAAUCGCAAACGUGCUCUCCCCUGCUUUAGCUUCCCGCCGCUAUUAUUGGAACCAACUAUCUGA
rnacentral:rRNA from 1 species